GUCCGUAAAAUUAAGAUUUUACUGUAUAUAUCUCCAUUGUUUCUGUGAGAAGGGCAUGUUUAUCUUUGUGCAAAGGCCUGAUUACUCUAGCUUCUUGCCAGUUUAUGAUGAUGUUGUUCUGUAUAGCUGCAAUGGACAGGGCUGUGUUGUUUUGUGCUCAUUGAGUCUCUGUUUUAACCCUCUAGUAGUAACUCCUAUGUAUACUUCUUCUUCAUGCAUAAUAUUAUUUUCUACUGGUAUUCUAUAUAUACCCGACUUAUUAUUGGGUUGAAUUUUACUUUUAUCAUUAAGAAGUUUGCUGUAAACUGUUGGGAAUCUUUUAUAUGUGAUCUUUUUAUUCGCCUUUUGCGCUAUCUUCUUAGCAAGGUUAGAGUUUCUCAUGGCGUACGGUAUCGUCUCAUAUCUUUCUUCAUGGUCAUGUAGGUUAUUGGCAUUGUCGAUCGAUUGUUUAGUCUUCUGAAGUAGGUUUUCUAAUACGUGCCUAGACUAACCAUGUAGCCCUCCUGUUUUAAAGAUAUAAUUGAGCUCUUUCUUUAGCUCCUCUUGGUUAUUAAUGUAUAGGAUGGCUCUUCAGAAAUAGGAGUGGAAUGCAGCCAUCUUAUACGAAAAGGGGUC
rnacentral:lncRNA from 1 species